AGAGUUUGAUCCUGGCUCAGGACGAACGCUGGCGGCACGCUUAACACAUGCAGGUCGAACGAGAGAAGAGGAGCUUGCUUUUCUGAUCUAGUGGCGGACGGGUGAGUAACACGUGAGCAAUCUGCCUUUCAGAGGGGGAUACCGAUUGGAAACGAUCGUUAAUACCGCAUAACAUAAUUGAAUCGCAUGAUUUGAUUAUCAAGGAUUUAUCGCUGAAAGAUGAGCUCGCGUCUGAUUAGCUAGUUGGUAAGGUAACGGCUUACCAAGGCGACGAUCAGUAGCCGGACUGAGAGGUUGAUCGGCCACAUUGGGACUGAGACACGGCCCAGACUCCUACGGGAGGCAGCAGUGGGGAAUAUUGCACAAUGGAGGAAACUCUGAUGCAGCGAUGCCGCGUGAGGGAAGAAGGUUUUAGGAUUGUAAACCUCUGUCUUCAGGGACGAAAAAAGACGGUACCUGAGGAGGAAGCUCCGGCUAACUACGUGCCAGCAGCCGCGGUAAUACGUAGGGAGCGAGCGUUGUCCGGAAUUACUGGGUGUAAAGGGAGCGUAGGCGGGAUCGCAAGUCAGAUGUGAAAACUAUGGGCUUAACCCAUAAACUGCAUUUGAAACUGUGGUUCUUGAGUGAAGUAGAGGUAAGCGGAAUUCCUAGUGUAGCGGUGAAAUGCGUAGAUAUUAGGAGGAACAUCAGUGGCGAAGGCGGCUUACUGGGCUUUAACUGACGCUGAGGCUCGAAAGCGUGGGGAGCAAACAGGAUUAGAUACCCUGGUAGUCCACGCCGUAAACGAUGAUUACUAGGUGUGGGGGGACUGACCCCUUCCGUGCCGCAGCAGACGCAAUAAGUAAUCCACCUGGGGAGUACGACCGCAAGGUUGAAACUCAAAGGAAUUGACGGGGGCCCGCACAAGCAGUGGAGUAUGUGGAUUAAUUCGAAGCAACGCGAAGAACCUUACCAGGUCUUGACAUCGUAUGCAUAGCUCAGAGAUGAGUGAAAUCUCUUCGGAGACAUAUAGACAGGUGGUGCAUGGUUGUCGUCAGCUCGUGUCGUGAGAUGUUGGGUUAAGUCCCGCAACGAGCGCAACCCUUACUGUUAGUUGCUACGCAAGAGCACUCUAGCAGGACUGCCGUUGACAAAACGGAGGAAGGUGGGGAUGACGUCAAAUCAUCAUGCCCCUUAUGACCUGGGCCUCACACGUACUACAAUGGCUGUCAACAGAGGGAAGCAAAGCCGCGAGGUGGAGCGAACCCCUAAAAGCAGUCUUAGUUCGGAUUGUAGGCUGCAACCCGCCUACAUGAAGUCGGAAUUGCUAGUAAUCGCAGAUCAGCAUGCUGCGGUGAAUACGUUCCCGGGCCUUGUACACACCGCCCGUCACGCCAUGGGAGUCGGUAACACCCGAAGCCUGUAGUCUAACCGCAAGGAGGACGCAGUCGAAGGUGGGAUUGAUGACUGGGGUGAAGUCGUAACAAGGUA
rnacentral:rRNA from 1 species